rnacentral:rRNA from 1 species
AAGCCAGUGGUGAACUCCACAUACGCAUCCUUUGCUGAGGAUACGGUUAACGGAGCGAAAGCGACGUUCAACCGCAAAAGAAGCAGAGGGGGCUUAGUGGUGGGGUGACUGCGUACCUUUUGUAUAAUGGGUCAGCGACUUAUAUUCUGUAGCAAGGUUAACCGCAUAGGGGAGCCGGAGGGAAACCGAGUCUUAAUUGGGCGUUAAGUUGCAGGGUAUAGACCCGAAACCCGGUGAUCUAGCCAUGGGCAGGUUGAAGGUUGGGUAACACUAACUGGAGGACCGAACCGACUAAUGUUGAAAAAUUAGCGGAUGACCUGUGGCUGGGGGUGAAAGGCCAAUCAAACCGGGAGAUAGCUGGUUCUCCCCGAAAGCUAUUUAGGUAGCGCCUCGUGAAUUCAUCUCCGGGGGUAGAGCACUGUUUCGGCUAGGGGGCCAUCCCGGCUUACCAACCCGAUGCAAACUGCGAAUACCGGAGAAUGUUAUCACGGGAGACACACGGCGGGUGCUAACGUCCGUCGUGAAGAGGGAAACAACCCAGACCGCCAGCUAAGGUCCCAAAGUCAUGGUUAAGUGGGAAACGAUGUGGGAAGGCCCAGACAGCCAGGAUGUUGGCUUAGAAGCAGCCAUCAUUUAAAGAAAGCGUAAUAGCUCACUGGUCGAGUCGGCCUGCGCGGAAGAUGUAACGGGGCUAAACCAU